AGGCCUUGCUUGUGGGGUAGUUUGCUGCCCUCCCUGCCAUCCACAUGGGUGGGCUGUGUGAGAGGGACAACGGCCUGCAAGGAGGCCAGGAGUGGGAGUGGAUUUGGGAAGGACCUCAGUGACAGGAAGGGUGUUUCCACUGUGCAGCUGCCAAAAGAAACCUGUGACUCAGUGGGUGGCAUGUGUGAUACCCAGAAACUUUAUAGUCCGAGUUAUCCUGGCUCCUAUCUACUUCCGUCUGUUACAUUUCCCAGAAUGGUUCCCAGUGCUGGAGAUAAUUCCUUUUCGGAGAACCUACAUUUCUCACCUGCUGAUUGCAAUUAGCCACUACCAGCUGGGGCCUGGUGUGCAGCUGAAAAGCUAACAAGAAGUGGAGACCACGCGGAACUCAGACAGGGCAUAGGAUGUGCAUAAAUAAGCAACGGUGCCUGUGUUUAUGAGAUGCUCCUGUGAAUUCGAGGCUUCCCCACCCUCUGCAUAACUCUCCCUCUUCUGGCUUUGUGCUGCACACCCCUCCCCUAACUAUAUUUUUUGUCUCUGGUUUUGUAGCCUACGUUUAACAUCACAGUCACGAAUUUACCACUAAGUACAUUUUGUUAGGCAAUAAACAGCCUUGGAAG
rnacentral:lncRNA from 1 species